CAGUAGCCGCGGUAAUACAGAGGGUGCAAGCGUUAAUCGGAAUUACUGGGCGUAAAGCGCGCGUAGGUGGUUUGUUAAGUUGGAUGUGAAAGCCCCGGGCUCAACCUGGGAACUGCAUCCAAAACUGGCAAGCUAGAGUACGGUAGAGGGUGGUGGAAUUUCCUGUGUAGCGGUGAAAUGCGUAGAUAUAGGAAGGAACACCAGUGGCGAAGGCGACCACCUGGACUGAUACUGACACUGAGGUGCGAAAGCGUGGGGAGCAAACAGGAUUAGAUACCCCCGUAGUCCCUGUCUCUUAUAA
rnacentral:rRNA from 1 species